UACUAGGCUGUUUUUAAACGUUCAGUGU
rnacentral:piRNA from 1 species